rnacentral:rRNA from 1 species
AGAGAUGUGUGAUGACGCAUAUCAAUAAGCGGAGGAAAAGAAACUAACAAGGAUUCCCUUAGUAACGGCGAGUGAAGCGGGAAGAGCUCAAAUUUGAAAUCUUCAAGGUUCUACCUUGACGAAUUGUAGUUUAUAGAAGUGUUUUCUGUUAGUGGAGUGGCAAAAGUUCCUUGGAAUAGGACAUCAUAGAGGGUGAGAAUCCCGUAUUUGGUCAUUCCUCCUAGCGUUGUGAUACACUUUCAACGAGUCGGAUUGUUUGGGAAUGCAGUCCAAAAUGGGUGGUAAAUUUCAUCUAAAGCUAAAUAUUGGCGAGAGACCGAUAGCGAACAAGUACCGUGAGGGAAAGAUGAAAAGAACUUUGAAAAGGGAGUUAAACAGUACGUGAAAUUGUCAAAAGGGAAGCGUUUGACGCCAGUGUUGUUUUUCCGAAAAUCAAUUACGAAUGUUUUGUUUUUGAGGAGUUAUGACUUCAUCGGCUUGCUCCUUUCUUUAUGAAACUUUCUUAAUGCACUUUUCGGUUAACAAGUCAACAUCAAUUUCUUUUGUUGUAAAAGGGUAUGAGGAAGGUGGCUUUCUUUUCGGAGAAAGUGUUUAUAGCCUUGUGCCUCUGCAAUCGGAGAGAUUGAGGUUUGCAGCGUAGAUCCUUCGGGGUUAGAUACGUUUGUGCUAAGUUAUAGCUUUUCAUAGACAACUUGUUGACUAUGUUUAGUCUUGUAGCUUACUCGCUGACGCUAUUUUACCUACGCUUAGGAUGUUGAACUCUAUCACACACAG